AUUGAACGCUGGCGGCAGGCCUAACACAUGCAAGUCGAGCGAGCGGCGGACGGGUGAGUAAUGUCUGGAAAACUGCCUGAUGGGGGGGGAUAACUACUGGAAACGGUAGCUAAUACCGCAUACCAUCAGAUGUGCCCAGAGUGGAUUAGCUAGUGGGUGGGGUAACGGCUCACAUGGGCGACGAUCCCUAGCUGGUCUGAGAGGAUGACCAGCCACACUGGAACUGAGACACGGUCCAGACUCCUACGGGAGGCAGCAGUGGGGAAUAUUGCACAAUGGGCGCAAGCCUGAUGCAGCAAUGCCGCGUGUGUGAAGAAGGCCUUCGGGUCGUAAAGCACUUUCAGCGGGGAGGCGUUACCCGCAGAAGAAGCACCGGCUAACUCCGUGCCAGCAGCCGCGGUAAUUC
rnacentral:rRNA from 1 species